GAUGAACGCUGGCGGCGUGCCUAAUACAUGCAAGUCGAGCGAACGGACGAGAAGCUUGCUUCUCUGAUGUUAGCGGCGGACGGGUGAGUAACACGUGGAUAACCUACCUAUAAGACUGGGAUAACUUCGGGAAACCGGAGCUAAUACCGUAUAAUAUUUUGAACCGCAUGGUUCAAAAGUGAAAGACGGUCUUGCUGUCACUUAUCGAUGGAUCCGCGCUGCAUUAGCUAGUUGGUAAGGUAACGGCUUACCAAGGCAACGAUGCAUAGCCGACCUGAGAGGGUGAUCGGCCACAGUGGAACUGAGAGACGGUACAGACUCCUACGGGAGGCAGCAGUAGGGAAUCUUCCGAAAUGGGCGAAAGAAUGACGGAGCAACGCAGCGUGAGUGAUGAAGGUCUUCGGAUCGUAAAACUCUGUUAUUAGGGAAGAACAUAUGUGUAAGUAACUGUGCACAUCUUGACGGUACCUAAUCAGAAAGCCACGACUAACUACGU
rnacentral:rRNA from 1 species